UGGCAGGUUGGAUGGGCGUUCUGCUUCUCUUUAAAGAGCACAGAUUUAUCCAUACCAUGCGACAUGAAUGAAAUGAGAAGUUUUCAGGGCUGCCAACCCCUUGGUUAAGGUUUUACAGUAGUAUAUUUUCUCUACAAUA
rnacentral:snoRNA from 1 species